rnacentral:rRNA from 1 species
AAAAGCUUUCUUUAAUUGAAUAAUUGAAUUUAAUUUUUUAGUGCAAAAGCAAAAAUAAAAAUUAGGGACAAGAAGACCCUAUGAAUUUUUUAUUAAAUUUUAUAAAACUUUAUAUAAAAUUUAAUUUAAUUGGGGUGAUGGAAAAAGAAUAAAUAUCUUUUUUUAAAAAAAAAUUGGUUCCGUUUUUAGCGAUUAAAUGAAAAAAANACUCUAGGGAUAACAGCGUAAUAAUUUUGGAUAGUUCAUAUANAUAAAAUAGUUUGCGACCUCGAUGUUGGAUUAGGAUUCUUUUUUGGUGAANAAGUUAAAAAAA